rnacentral:misc_RNA from 1 species
AAACAUUCCGGCCCCUCGGGUUUUCCCCCGUUAGGGUUCGGGUCCAUUGGCGCGGGGAUGCCGGCCACCGUGCUGCGGCGCGGCCGGGCCCUCCCCCGCUUAAACGCGGAGAAAGCUAGCGGGCAGGUGCUCCCAUCGCGAACGACUCGUAGUAACCUUCCUGUCGUCCGCCGCUUUGGGACCGGCCCCGCCUCUCAAACCGCGGGGGCUUUCCGUAAGGAAAAGCCCCCCUGAA